GACGAACGCUGGCGGCGUGCCUAAUACAUGCAAGUCGAACGCAUUUUCUUUCACCGUAGCUUGCUACACCGAAAGAAAAUGAGUGGCGAACGGGUGAGUAACACGUGGGUAACCUGCCCAUCAGCGGGGGAUAACACUUGGAAACAGGUGCUAAUACCGCAUAAUUCCAUUUACUGCAUGGUAGAUGGAUGAAAGGCGCUUUUGCGUCACUGAUGGAUGGAGCCGCGGUGCAUUAGCUAGUUGGUGGGGUAACGGCCUACCAAGGCUGCGAUGCAUAGCCGACCUGAGAGGGUGAUCGGCCACACUGGGACUGAGACACGGCCCAGACUCCUACGGGAGGCAGCAGUAGGGAAUCUUCGGCAAUGGACGCAAGUCUGACCGAGCAACGCCGCGUGAGUGAAGAAGGUUUUCGGAUCGUAAAACUCUAUUGUUAGAAAAGAACAAGGAUGAGAGUGGAAAGUUCAUCCCUUGACGGUAUCUAACCAGAAAGCCACGGCUAACUACGUG
rnacentral:rRNA from 1 species